CCUACGUGAGUCAGCAGUGAGGAAUAUUGGUCAAUGGACGCAAGUCUGAACCAGCCAUGCCGCGUGCAGGAAUACGGCUCUAUGAGUUGUAAACUGCUUUUGUACGAGGGUAAACGCAGAUACGCGUAUCUGUCUGAAAGUAUCAUACGAAUAAGGAUCGGCUAACUCCGUUCCAGCAGCCGCGGUAAUACGGAGGAUUCAAGCGUUAUCCGGAUUUAUUGGGUUUAAAGGGUGCGUAGGCGGUCGGAUAAGUUAGCGGUGAAAUCCCGAGGCUCAACUUCGGAAUUGCCUUUGAAACUGUUCGGCUAGAGAGUAGUAGCGGUAGGCGGAAUGCAUGGUGUAGCGGUGAAAUGCUUAGAGAUCAUGCAGAACACCGAUUGCGAAGGCAGCUUGCCAAGCUACUUCUGACGUUGAGGCACGAAAGCGUGGGGAGCAAACAGGAUUAGAUACCCGGGUAGUC
rnacentral:rRNA from 1 species